AGGUGUGGUGAAAAUAAGCCUACCAGAAUUAAGCACCUAAUUUUAGCCACGCUUGAAGUUAAAGGUUGUUUUAAAACAACGUAUACAUAUCUUUAUUUAAAAUUAAAUUAUAUUAAUGUGUCGACAAGAAAAUUUUAUACAUUCUCGUUUUUAGGGCACUUAUUUCAAUUCGUUCAAUUUUUACCCAAUUUGGAAUUUUUGUAAUCAAUCAAAGCCUCAAUUAAAAGAUGAUUCUACGGAAACCAAAUCUCUGAGUCAGAGUACGAGUUAUCUCAAACUUACAAACUGCUUUGUUUCGUAUAUACUACAUUGUUCGGAAAAAUAUACCUUAAGGUAUCUUACGGUAGGUAUAUUUUCCCACAGUAUAAACUCCGUCCCGGUCCCAUGACCGACAUAUAGGUGAAGUGAGAAACCAUUAAUAAAAACUUAGUAUAGAACUCAUACGGAAUUUGUUUUAGUUUAAUCCAGUAGCAUAUUUUUAAGUAAGUAAAUCAGCAUAUUUGUACCUCUAAUUAGAAAAUAUUGACAGUUCCCACAUAGGUAGCCCCCAUGGAGUAAGGAGACUUUUAAUCUUACAGAAUAAAAACGGUUCCAAAUUGAAAAACAAACAUUUUAAAUAUAUUUCAUUUGAAAUAUGUACCUACCCAGGUUCAAUAUUCAUCUGAAAAAAAAAAACUGAGGAGGAAUUUGUUGUUUUUAUAUAAAUAAAUUUAAUUUGUAACAUUACUUACCCCACAACCACUGAAAUAUAGUUCAGUAGAUACUGCACUGUAAGGGUAAGAGAGAUGUGAAAUUUAAAAUUAAAAUAAUAUAUUCUUUUCAAUUUAAAUUUCAAAGGGCAUGUAAGGGCAAAGUCGAUUAUUAGGUCGAACCAUAGUAGUCUCAUUCGAUAUUUAAUAACACCGUUAGAGUAACAAGAAUAGAGAUAUGUAUAAACAGUAAGGUAAGAGUGAGACAGCGCUUUACAAAUAAAAGACACUUCCAAUA